UUUGCAGCCAGUUGCAUUGCCUCCCAAUUCAUUGGAGGUUGCCGAGAGUGUAGUGAGAAGAACCGGGAGGAGAACUGCAGGUCAUCACUCUAACAUGCAUCACCUCCCUCGAGCAGUAGGUGCUGGUUCAGUGUCUAGUAUAGUUUGUAGUACAGUUAGUACCCUGUUUCGGCCUUGGAACUGACAGUUUUGGGUGGGCUGCCGUUUAGAUCACCGUCGGGGCGACGUUGCAGAAACUGGGGGUGGAAUGUAAUGAAAUUAGGUGACUGACAGCCGAAUUUACCUAUCAGCAACUAGUAUCCUCAAUAUAAAGGCUGAUUGGUUGUUGCCUGUGAUGCGUCACGUCCGACUUUCCCCCUUUGUGCCCGUGUUUACGGUGGUUGCAGUGUCGUUUUGGCCUGGUGUCAGUGUGUUGUCGGUGCUGCUUGGUGGAUUUAAUGACUGUUUGCCUCUCAGGGUGCUAUCGGUGGGCAUGAUUUAUAGAUCUGUGCCUGUACAUUUUCUAUUUUGCAUGAUACCUUGACGGAUUCUCCCUCUUGUUCUUUCUUGUUUUAUAUUGUAUUUACUGCUGUUUUCCGCUUUGCGCUGCUGACGUUCUGCUCACAAUCCUACGGUUUUGCUGUUCACACUGUCGUGCAGACGCCAUCAUCAUCGUUGUUGAAAGGGGAUUGUUCGUCUGGUUCCUAUUGUUUCGUUUCCUGCUUGUGCAUCAACAUGGAGAAUAUGACGAUCUCAUUUUAUUGAGAGAAAAUAACUGUUUAGUUUUGUCCUUUAUUUUCUUUUGAUUAAUUUUGUGGGAGUCAAGUUUGUCUUGUGUUCUUUUUGGUUAUCGUACUAUAUAUAUAUAUAUGUGUAAUUAUAUACUGUUGUGUUUGCUGUUUUAUUUGUAUGUUAUUUUUCCUUUAUUAAUGCAACUUGAUUUAUAUGCCGUUUACAUCUAACUUCAAGUUGCUUUGUAAUUUUGUUUGAAUUUAUUUGAUUUUUUCCUAAUGUUUUCUUCCAGUCUUAUGUGGUAUUGAUACCCACCUUUGUUUGGAGUUGUUUUAUUAGUUAAUUGAUGUUUGUGUUGUAUUUUGCUUUAAGUUAAUGGUGUUUAUUUGUUUGUUAUAGUUUAUUCAUUUAUUUUUGGUCUAUUGCAGGAGCUGGGGUCCCACGGGUGAACGGAUCCUCCUCUUUGUGGUGGUGGUUCUUCUUUAUUGCGUGCUGUGUACCACUUUGAGUGUGUGGUAGUGUGAUCUGAGUGCACCUUGGUGUGUGUGCGUGAAAGUGUGCCCUUGUAAAACCAGACUCCAUUUUGUUUCCUGCCGUUGGGAGCCUCAGCCCUGCUGGUAUUUAUUUUGCUUUCAUAUUUAAAGUUGAUUUUGUGUUAUUAUCUACAUUCAUUCUUUGUGUAAAUUCAUUUUCUUCCAUUUAAAGUGGGAUCUCCUGUUGCUUCUUUGACAUUUUAGUGUCCAUUUUAGCACAUUCUUGUAUUAAUAAACAUUUGUAUUUUUAUAUUAUA